AGAAAUCUUCUAGCACUGAGGUCAAAGACGAGAAAUCUUCUAGCACUGAGGUCAAAGACGAGAAAUCUUCUAGCACUGAGGUCAAAGACGAGAAAGCCAAGAAGUGAGUCACUAACACACUGCGUAUGAGCCAGAAGAGAGAGAGAGACGCCAAAGAACUAUCGGGGCGGGAUGGGAGGGGGGAAGGGACGCUACUGAAGCCCUGAGCAGCCUUUGUAAAGGGAAGCCAGAGCAUAGCAGAGCAGAGCAGGAGACAAACAGUAAACAAACAAAGCAAUAGCUUUUCUCUAGUUACUAUCCCCCAGGUACUCAACCCUGAUAUGAUGCUUCUUCUAAUCUAUGACUGUAGUGAAUGCAGAAUGCUCUAAACUCUAUCUGAAUUGUGUCUAUCUGACUGCCCGUCAAUAAUAACAAGUGCAUUAAAACAGCAGCAUCGCCUUGGCUGGGAGCACAGCACAGGGCCAUGCACCUUCUGAAGCCUUCAAGGGUAGCGAUGUCAACAAAUGUCUAUAAAAGAUUGUGACAGAUGAAUAUAUUGUACUGUAUGUGUAUAUUUAUGAAGAUAUAAAUGCGUAUAUUAUAUUAACGACUAUAAAAAGCAGAGAAAGACUACAAACCUGCUCAUUGUGCAUCUUAAACAGCUCCCUGUCUGAUGGUUGUGCUGACUCACUGUGCUGUGGUCAGUAAUGAUACCUAGGCCAGUGAGGAGAACUCUGAAGUCAGGGAUGACUGUGCUAUGUAUAAACUGCUGAGAGUAUGCAAUACAAACUGAUGAACUAAUAAAGGUUAAAACCGAAA